rnacentral:rRNA from 1 species
AUGAACGCUGGCGGCGUGCCUAAUACAUGCAAGUCGAGCGAACAGAUGAGGAGCUUGCUCCUCUGACGUUAGCGGCGGACGGGUGAGUAACACGUGGAUAACCUACCUAUAAGACUGGGAUAACUUCGGGAAACCGGAGCUAAUACCGGAUAAUAUAUUGAACCGCAUGGUUCAAUAGUGAAAGACGGUUUUGCUGUCACUUAUAGAUGGAUCCGCGCCGCAUUAGCUAGUUGGUAAGGUAACGGCUUACCAAGGCAACGAUGCGUAGCCGACCUGAGAGGGUGAUCGGCCACGCUGGAACUGAGACACGGUCCAGACUCCUACGGGAGGCAGCAGUAGGGAAUCUUCCGCAAUGGGCGAAAGCCUGACGGAGCAACGCCGCGUGAGUGAUGAAGGUCUUCGGAUCGUAAAACUCUGUUAUUAGGGAAGAACAAAUGUGUAAGUAACUAUGCACGUCUUGACGGUACCUAAUCAGAAAGCCACGGCUAACUACGUG